rnacentral:tRNA from 1 species
GCCCUCAUCGUCUAGUGGCCUAGGACGCAGCCCUCUCAAGGCUGAAACCGGGGUUCGACUCCCCGUGGGGGUA